ACAGAUCAUCUUCUGACGUGCCUCUCCCAACUUCCUUUUGCCAGUGAUGACUAGCUGCCCUGAAGUUCACAAUCUAUAAAUUUCCCCAGCACCAAAUUUUGAAGCAUUCAUUCUCUGGUAGAGUCACCAAGCACUUCCAAAUGGUUUCUCCAGUCAUUCUGCUCAUCUUCCUCCUCACAGUUGACAUGGGAGAUACGAGCUGUUUUCAAUUAGACUUUCCAUCCAGUACUAAAGGCUGCUUCAUGGAUGAUGAUUACCAUGCAAAUGGGAAAAAAUGGAGGACUAAAGACUGUCAAGAUUGUAGGUGUUAUGAGAAACACAUGACUUGCUGCCUCAGGUAAAUUCCAGGCCACCAGAACUACUCUGAACAGAGUGAUCUCAGUUAUUGAUGACCAUCUGCCCUCUGC